rnacentral:rRNA from 1 species
AUUGAACGCUGGCGGCAGGCCUAACACAUGCAAGUCGAGCGGAUGAAGGGAGCUUGCUCCUGGAUUCAGCGGCGGACGGGUGAGUAAUGCCUAGGAAUCUGCCUGGUAGUGGGGGAUAACGUCCGGAAACGGGCGCUAAUACCGCAUACGUCCGGAGGGAGAAAGUGGGGGAUCUUCGGACCUCACGCUAUCAGAUGAGCCUAGGUCGGAUUAGCUAGUUGGUGGGGUAAAGGCCUACCAAGGCGACGAUCCGUAACUGGUCUGAGAGGAUGAUCAGUCACACUGGAACUGAGACACGGUCCAGACUACUACGGGAGGCAGCAGUGGGGAAUAUUGGACAAUGGGCGAAAGCCUGAUCCAGCCAUGCCGCGUGUGUGAAGAAGGUCUUCGGAUUGUAAAGCACUUUAAGUUGGGAGGAAGGGCAGUAAGUUAAUACCUUGCUGUUUUGACGUUACCAACAGAAUAAGCACCGGCUAACUUCGUG